GAUGAACGCUGGCGGCGUGCUUAACACAUGCAAGUCGAACGGAAAGGCCAGUGCUUGCACUGGUACUCGGGUGGCGAACGGGUGAGUAACACGUGGGUGAUCUGCCCUGCACUUCGGGAUAAGCCUGGGAAACUGGGUCUAAUACCGGAUAGGACAAUGGUUUGGAUGCCGUUGUGGAAAGUUUUUUCGGUGUGGGAUGAGCUCGCGGCCUAUCAGCUUGUUGGUGGGGUAAUGGCCUACCAAGGCGUCGACGGGUAGCCGGCCAGAGAGGGUGUACGGCCACAUUGGGACUGAGAUACGGCCCAGACUCCUACGGGGGGCAGAAGUGGGGAAGAUUGAACAAUGGGCGCAAGCCUGAUGCAGCGACGCCGCGUGGGGGAUGACGGCCUUCGGGUUGUAAACUCCUUUCGCUAGGGACGAAGCGUAUUUGUGACGGUACCUGGAGAAGAAGCACCGGCUAACUACGU
rnacentral:rRNA from 1 species